GAUGAACGCUGGCGGCGUGCCUAAUACAUGCAAGUCGAGCGAAUGGAUUAAGAGCUUGCUCUUAUGAAGUUAGCGGCGGACGGGUGAGUAACACGUGAGCAACCUGCCCAUAAGACUGGGAUAACUCCGGGAAACCGGGGCUAAUACCGGAUAACAUUUUGAACCGCAUGGUUCGAAAUUGAAAGGCGGCUUCGGCUGUCACUUAUGGAUGGACCCGCGUCGCAUUAGCUAGUUGGUGAGGUAACGGCUCACCAAGGCAACGAUGCGUAGCCGACCUGAGAGGGUGAUCGGCCACACUGGGACUGAGACACGGCCCAGACUCCUACGGGAAGCAGCAGUAGGGAAUCUUCCGCAAUGGACGAAAGUCUGACGGAGCAACGCCGCGUGAGUGAUGAAGGCUUUCGGGUCGUAAAACUCUGUUGUUAGGGAAGAACAAGUGCUAGUUGAAUAAGCUGACACCUUGACGGUACCUAACCAGAAAGCCACGGCUAACUACGUGCCAGCCGCCGCCGUAA
rnacentral:rRNA from 1 species